rnacentral:rRNA from 1 species
UACGGGGGGGGCAAGCGUUGUUCGGAAUUACUUGGCGUAAAGGGCUCGUAGGCGGCCAACUAAGUCAGACGUGAAAUCCCUAGGCUCAACCUAGGAACUGCGUCUGAUACUGGAUGGCUUGAAUCCGGGAGAGGGAUGCAGAAUUCCAGGUGUAGCGGUGAAAUGCGUAGAUAUCUGGAGGAAUACCGGUGGCGAAGGCGGCAUCCUGGACCGGCAUUGACGCUGAGGAGCGAAAGCCAGGGGAGCAAACGGG